GACGAACGCUGGCGGCGUGCUUAACACAUGCAAGUCGAACGGAAAGGCCCUGCUUUUGUGGGGUGCUCGAGUGGCGAACGGGUGAGUAACACGUGAGUAACCUGCCCUUGACUUUGGGAUAACUUCAGGAAACUGGGGCUAAUACCGGAUAGGAGCUCCUGCUGCAUGGUGGGGGUUGGAAAGUUUCGGCGGUUGGGGAUGGACUCGAGGCUUAUCAGCUUGUUGGUGGGGUAGUGGCUUACCAAGGCUUUGACGGGUAGCCGGCCUGAGAGGGUGACCGGCCACAUGGGGACUGAGAUACGGCCCAGACUCCUACGGGAGGCAGCAGGCGGGAGUAUUACACAAUGGGCGGAAGCCAGAUGCAGCAACGCCGCGUGCGGGAUGACGGCCUUCGGGUUGUAAACCGCUUUCGCCUGUGACGAAGCGUGAGUGACGGUAAUGGGUAAAGAAGCACCGGCUAACUACGUG
rnacentral:rRNA from 1 species